UCCUAGCCCCGAUGGAAACGACAUCCUUUUUAUCUUGCAAAUAGUUUCUGGUCACCAAAAUAAGUUCCAGAUAAAAAGAUAUAGUGAACAGCGGGAUUAGCU
rfam:Flavobacterium frigoris strain DSM 15719 genome assembly, contig: Ga0131223_102